rnacentral:rRNA from 1 species
GACAGAGGAUGCAAGCGUUAUCCGGAAUGAUUGGGCGUAAAGCGUCUGUAGGUGGCUUUUUAAGUCCGCCGUCAAAUCCCAGGGCUCAACCCUGGACAGGCGGUGGAAACUACCAAGCUGGAGUACGGCAGGGGCAGAGGGAAUUUCCGGUGGAGCGGUGAAAUGUGUAGAUAUUGGAAAGACCACCGAUGGCGAAGGCACUCUACUGGGCCAUGACUGACACUGAGAGACGAAAGCUAGGGGGAGCAAAUGGG